UAUAAAAGAGCGAAUCCAUUCUAGCUUAGAGCUUAGUGCAUGGAUACCGCUCCCACUUGUGUGAGCUAAAGUUUCAAAAAUUGUGCCGACGCUGAUUGCCUAACUGUAACGUAUUUUCGUGGAGAGAGUGGAUUUUUGCAUUUGAAAAUGGAAUGACGAAGGCUUACUUCAGGGUGCGAGGCGCCCAAACUCAACACUUCUGUUUAUUGCCUUUAUUUAUUUAUUUAUCUAGUUUAAUUUUGUUUAGUAAAUUUGAAGCGUACAACAUUUUCAUAAAGCCUAAUCAGUCGAGACCAUCCAUGCACAAAACAAAAAUGAGUUAAAAACAUAUUAACGGUUAUUUUUUGUGGUUACAUAAACGUUGCCGACGCUCCAACAAAACUUUGUGCGCAUUGCUGAAAGAAUUCUCACUUCAGUUAAUAUAAUUUAACACAAUAAAAACAAAAACAAUUAUGGACAACUUUCGAGCGUGUGUAAAUUGGACUACCCUACUAGAUGGAAAUGUGAAUCACAAUAACUAAACUUAGUAGCACAUAAGUAUGUGAAGCGAGUGAAAUUAAACGCCAUUUCAUGUAUAUAUGUAUAACUAUCUAGUAAUUAACCAAAGCUUACUACUUGUUGCAAAAUUUUCAAAAUAUUACAAAAAUAUGCUAGAAAAGUGUUGAAGAAAUUUUCAUGCUUUCCUGAAGCCUAGAAUUGAAGAAUGUGAGAAUUAUAAUCAUACCUACAUACAUAGAUGUAUAUGAAAUAUGCUAUAAAUUAAUUGUCAUUAUCAAAAUAAAUUGUUGUGUGUGUAUUAAUUAAAGUUUAUUAUGCUCUACUCAGUCCUUAAGUCAUCAUCUAGUAUGAAUAUUCGAAGACCUCAAAACAUGUUGCUGUUGUUUGGGAUUACAAAACAAAAAAAACAUAAUGACUUAGAAAGAGCAUGACAUUUUGAAUUUUGGUUGCGAAAUACAAUAAAUUUGGCACUAAAUCUCAAAAUUAAAAAUACAAAAUUAUACGAUAUUAAUUGACUAUAUAAUCAUAUGUAAAUGCACCAAUACGGCGAUACAAGAAAUACAUAUAUACAUAUAUAUACUAUGUUUACUAAGCGAUUUCAGGAGAAAUGAGCACUUAUGUAACACAUUAUACCAAGCAUUAUAAAUAUAAAUAAAAAUAUGUAAAUGUGCAAAUUUAA